AUUUAAUUAGCUUAUGCGCUGACGGAGGUUGGCGAAGGUGAGCUUGACCAGAUGGGAUCAAGCGGAGAUUUCUCACGCUUGACUCUCAGACAUGGAUUUAAAUGCACACCAGAUGACUCCAUAUCUGUGGAAGACGUGUUGGUUGCAGUCAGUGAACAGGUUGGUGGGCUAAAUAUCAAGUCAGCCUCUAGAAUGAAUAAAGCCGUUGUUGUCUUUCUUACCGAUGUUCAAAUAGUGGAUAAUCUGAUUGAACGUGGAAUUACAAUUAAUGACACAUUCUUACCAGUACUGCCAUUAUCGAGUCCUUCAAAGAAAAUUGUGUUAUCGAAUGUUCCUCCGUUCAUUAAGAAUGAAGUUAUUCAGGGAGUACUCUAAAAGAUAUGGCAAAUUAACAGGGCCUAUUAAGAUGAUCCCGUUAGGUUUGAAAAAUCCAGAUAUCAGACACGUCAUGUCUUUUCGGAGAUAUACGUACAUGAUAUUGAAUGACCAACAGGAUCCGCUUAAUUUGGCUGUGAAAUUAACAAAUGAAGGCAAAGAUUAUACAAUCUUUAUUAGCUCUGAUCAAAUGAGAUGCUUUUCAUGCGGGGAACAAGGGCAUGUGCGGCAAACGUGCCCAAAUAAACAAACAGAUAAGCCGUCUCGUUCGAAAAUAACCGAACAAGGUGCUGAACUAGAAAAUGAACACAUAGCGGUAGUUGAAACAGUGCCUACAAAGCAAAGUAAUGUUAAUAGAGACACGGAGAGCUGUGAGAGUGUUGAAACGAUGGAAAAUCAAGCUGGUGUUGGGGAAAAGUCCACACCAAAUGUUAGUGAGGAUGACACACGAUUAGAAAAAGAACAAACAGAGAUGGAGAAUAAUGAAGUAAAUGGUGAAAGUGAGGCAGCUAAAGAAAGCUACACUCAGAUGUCCGCGGUGAGUUCAGAAUAUGUUCAAUCUGAAAAUGAUUCGGACGGUGAUCUAGAGGGUUUAGAGAGUCUAUCUGACGGAGAAGAUGCUGAAAGAACGGGAUUAAGUAUUCCCAAGUUGUAUACAGUAAAACAAAUAAGUGAUUUUCUUGAUUAAACUAAAGGAGCUCGUAAACCACAAAUUGAG
ensembl:lncRNA